UGGGGAAUAUUGCGCAAUGGGCGAAAGCCUGACGCAGCGACGCCGCGUGAGGGAUGAAGGUCUUCGGAUCGUAAACCUCUGUCAGCAGGGAAGAACGGUCACUGUGCUAAUCAGCAGUGAAUUGGACCGGUACCUGAC
rnacentral:rRNA from 1 species